AUGGCAGCUCUCAGCCACCUGCUUGACAACAAGGCCCAGGGUGUUGGGUUCGUUGCCAUGGCCGACGCUCACAGGGGCAAGUGGUAUGCCGUGUUCGUCGGUAAGGUCUCAGGGGUUUAUAGUUCAUGGGAAGAGGCCAGUGCACAAGUGGCAUCUUAUAGCAACAACACCCAUAGAGGGUUCAAAACUAGGCAUGCAGCAGAACAAGCUUACUCCGACUGGGUGCGAACGCACGGCAGCAGUCACAAGGUUGGAGGUGUCAAGGUGGAUCGUCAGUUUGGGCUGAAGCUGAAGAACUUCAUCAUGUUCCCCCAGUUCAUCGCCAUUGCUGUGUUGUGGCAUUGGUGUGCUAGGUGUGUGUAA
rnacentral:rRNA from 1 species